AUUGAACGCUGGCGGCAGGCCUAACACAUGCAAGUCGAGCGGAAACGAGUUAUCUGAACUUUCGGGGAACGAUAACGGCGUCGAGCGGCGGACGGGUGAGUAAUGCCUAGGAAAUUGCCCUGAUGUGGGGGAUAACCAUUGGAAACGAUGGCUAAUACCGCAUGAUGCCUACGGGCCAAAGAGGGGGACCUUCGGGCCUCUCGCGUCAGGAUAUGCCUAGGUGGGAUUAGCUAGUUGGUGAGGUAAGGGCUCACCAAGGCAACGAUCCCUAGCUGGUCUGAGAGGAUGAUCAGCCACACUGGAACUGAGACACGGUCCAGACUCCUACGGGAGGCAGCAGUGGGGAAUAUUGCACGAUGGGCGCAAGCCUGAUGCAGCCAUGCCGCGUGUAUGAAGAAGGCCUUCGGGUUGUAAAGUACUUUCAGUCGUGAGGAAGGCGUUGUCGUUAAUAGCGGCAUCGUUUGACGUUAGCGACAGAAGAAGCACCGGCUAACUCCGUGCCAGCAGCCGCGGUAAUACGGAGGGUGCGAGCGUUAAUCGGAAUUACUGGGCGUAAAGCGCAUGCAGGUGGUUUGUUAAGUCAGAUGUGAAAGCCCGGGGCUCAACCUCGGAAUAGCAUUUGAAACUGGCAGACUAGAGUACUGUAGAGGGGGGUAGAAUUUCAGGUGUAGCGGUGAAAUGCGUAGAGAUCUGAAGGAAUACCGGUGGCGAAGGCGGCCCCCUGGACAGAUACUGACACUCAGAUGCGAAAGCGUGGGGAGCAAACAGG
rnacentral:rRNA from 1 species